CCUACGGGAGACAGCAGUGAGGAAUAUUGGUCAAUGGACGAGAGUCUGAACCAGCCAAGUAGCGUGAAGGAUGACUGCCCUAUGGGUUGUAAACUUCUUUUAUAUGGGAAUAAAAUGUUCCACGUGUGGGAUUUUGUAUGUACCAUAUGAAUAAGGAUCGGCUAACUCCGUGCCAGCAGCCGCGGUAAUACGGAGGAUCCGAGCGUUAUCCGGAUUUAUUGGGUUUAAAGGGAGAGUAGGUGGAUUGUUAAGUCAGUUGUGAAAGUUUGCGGCUCAACCGUAAAAUUGCAGUUGAAACUGGAAGUCUUGAGUACAGUAGAGGUGGGCGGAAUUCGUGGUGUAGCGGUGAAAUGCUUAGAUAUCACGAAGAACUCCGAUUGCGAAGGCAGCUCACUGGACUGCAACUGACACUGAGGCUCGAAAGUGUGGGUAUCAAACAGGAUUAGAUACCCCAGUAGUC
rnacentral:rRNA from 1 species